rnacentral:rRNA from 1 species
UACGGAGGGAGCUAGCGUUGUUCGGAAUUACUGGGCGUAAAGCGCGCGUAGGCGGCUUUGUAAGUUAGAGGUGAAAGCCCGGGGCUCAACCCCGGAACAGCCUUUAAGACUGCAUCGCUAGAAUCCGGGAGAGGUGAGUGGAAUUCCGAGUGUAGAGGUGAAAUUCGUAGAUAUUCGGAAGAACACCAGUGGCGAAGGCGGCGACCUGGUCCUUGACUGACGCUGAGGCGCGAAAGCGUGGGGAGCAAACAGG